AAGAUGAUUGUAAGGUCACUAAUCUUUCUAUGUGUGUGUGCGCUCGUGUGUGUGCUCUUAAUGGUAGCGGGUGUUCCAGUCCAGAUAUUUCCAUUAUCUCAGGGAGCAAAUAACAUUUCUGAAGUCUAUUCAAAGUGCGGUGCCUUUAGGAGCCAGUGCUGAGUGUUUCCUGCAAGAUGAUUGCCUUAAAGGAAUACUGCUGCCACAAAAUGAGCAUUUGUAUAUCAAUUGCUCACUGCGGGUGACUUUCUAUUAUUGAAGAAAACUUUUGUUUUUCUCACAUGCUUCCUCUGUGAAUCAGAAAACAGAUUAAGUCCUUGAUGAAUUGAAGUAAAUGGAGGACAUUUUUAAAAACAG